rnacentral:ncRNA from 1 species
GGGGCGCAUUUAUUAGAUAAAAGGCUGACGUGGGCUCUGCUCGCUGAUCCGAUGAUUCAUGAUAACUCGACGGAUCGCAUGGCCUUUGUGCCGGCGACGCAUCAUCUAAAUUUCUGCCCUAUCAACUUUCGAUGGUAGGAUAGGGGCCUACCAUGGUGGUGACGGGUGACGGAGAAUUAGGGUUCGAUUCCGGAGAGGGAGCCUGAGAAACGGCUACCACAUCCAAGGAAGGCAGCAGGGGCG